UGGACGAAAGUCUGAUGGAGCAACGCCGCGUGAGCGAUGAAGGCCUUCGGGUCGUAAAGCUCUGUUGUUAGGGAAGAUCAAGUACCGGAGUAACUGCCGGUACCUUGACGGUACCUAACCAGAAAGCCACGGCUAACUACGUGCCAGCAGCCGCGGUAAUACGUAGGUGGCAAGCGUUGUCCGGAAUUAUUGGGCGUAAAGCGCGCGCAGGCGGUCCUUUAAGUCUGAUGUGAAAGCCCACGGCUCAACCGUGGAGGGUCAUUGGAAACUGGGGGACUUGAGUGCAGAGGAGGAAAGCGGAAUUCCACGUGUAGCGGUGAAAUGCGUAGAGAUGUGGAGGAACACCAGUGGCGAAGGCGGCUUUCUGGUCUGUAACUGACGCUGAGGCGCGAAAGCGUGGGGAGCAAACAGGAUUAGAUACCCUGGUAGUCCACGCCGUAAACGAUGAGUGCUAAGUGUUAGAGGGUUUCCGCCCUUUAGUGCUGCAGCUAACGCAUUAAGCACUCCGCCUGGGGAGUACG
rnacentral:rRNA from 1 species